GGUAGCCAACAGGGGGAUAGCCAUGCUGCUGAGGGGGGUAACCAUGCUAUUGUGGGGGUAGCCAUGCUGAGGAGGGUACCCCUGUUGCGGAGGGUAUCCAUGCUGCUGCGGGGGGUACCCGUGGCCACUAGAUGGGUACCCAUGACCAACACCAUGAGCACCGGCAACGCCGUGCAUGAUGUUGGAGAGGAGCCCCUUCUCCCCAUCACUGCCACCUGCUCCAGGUGCAGGAGGGUACGCC
rnacentral:lncRNA from 1 species